CUGAUUCUUAAAGGUAAAUAUCAGCUGGUAAUUCUGGGAGCUAUGCCUGAUUAUGAAACACUCGGAAUUUCAGUUGGUAUCGACUUUUUCGAAUU
rnacentral:pre_miRNA from 1 species